GCGGGCUGGAGGCGGGGCCGGCCGCGGGGAGGCGGAGGCCCCCAUGGGCUCCUUCACGGGGCAGCCAGGCCCGAUCCCGCGAAGGAGCGGCGGUCGCGGGCGCUGCCUUGGCUGAGGCUGGUUCCGGAGGCCGCUCGCAUCCCGCCUCCGCGGAGCGCCCUGGGCACGGGGUCCGCGGCUGUAGGAGGACGGGCUGGAGCUGGAGGCGGCUGCCCGCGACUCGGCCGGGGGCGGCCCUGGGAAGGGGGGACAACCUUGCUCUUUUCCGCACGGCCUUCUCUCUCCUCCACCCCCCCUCAUUUUUAGCUUCCAAAGUUAGGAAGGGCGCGGAGGCAACGUCUGCAAAGUGGUGACUGUGAAGGCAGCCUUUGCGCUUUCCUAGGAGAGGGAUCCCGACCCGCAGUCCGGAGGCGGGGCCUGCGGCGGCAGGUGUUAAAUCACCUCGGCGCCGGCCGAGUGGCCUGAAAGACCAGCGGGGCAGGAGACGGAAAACGAAAUGACCUGGAAGUACAAGAAAAUUCCCCAGGACACAGAGCUGGUUUGGAGCCUUUCUUUGAUUUUAUUGUUUCUAUUAAUGGUUCAAGAUUAAAUAAAGACAAUGACACUCUUAAGGAUCUGCUGAAAGCAAACGUUGAAAAGCCUGUAAAAAUGCUUAUCUAUAGCAGCAAAACAUUGGAGCUGCGAGAGACCUCAGUCACACCGAGUAACC
rnacentral:sRNA from 1 species